GGAGGGUAUAGCUCAGUGGUAGAGCAUGUACUCAGAAUGCAUGAGGCCCUGGGUUCAAUCCCCAGUACCUCCG
rnacentral:tRNA from 1 species